rnacentral:rRNA from 1 species
UUGAAAUCUGGCGUCUUUCAGGCGUCCGAGUUGUAAUCUAUAGAGGCGUUUUCCGCGCCGGACCGCGUCCAAGUCUCUUGGAAUAGAGUAUCAAAGAGGGUGACAAUCCCGUACUUGACGCGACAACCGGUGCUCUGUGAUACGUUCUCAACGAGUCGAGUUGUUUGGGAAUGCAGCUCUAAAUGGGUGGUAAAUUCCAUCUAAGGCUAAAUAUUGGCGAGAGACCGAUAGCGAACAAGUACCGUGAGGGAAAGAUGAAAAGCACUUUGGAAAGAGAGUUAAACAGCACGUGAAAUUGUUAAAAGGGAAACGAUUGAAGUCAGUCGUGUGAAAGGUAUUCAGCCGUCUCUGGCGGUGUAUUUGCCUUUCACGGGUCAACAUCAGUUUAGUCCGGUAGAAAAAGGCUGGAGGAAGGUGGCACCCUCGGGUGUGUUAUAGCCUCCUGUCACAUGUGCCGGAUUAGACUGAGGAACGCAGCUUGCCGCAAGGCCGGGGUUCGCCCACGUACAAGCUUAGGAUGUUGACAUAAUGGCUUUAAACGACC